rnacentral:rRNA from 1 species
UACGGGGGGGGCAAGCGUUGUUCGGAAUUACUGGGCGUAAAGGGCUCGUAGGCGGCCAACUAAGUCAUACGUGAAAUCCCUCGGCUUAACCGGGGAACUGCGUCUGAUACUGGAUGGCUUGAGUUCGGGAGAGGGAUGCGGAAUUCCAGGUGUAGCGGUGAAAUGCGCAGAUAUCAGGAGGAACACCGAUGGCGAAGGCAGGUCUCUGGGCCAUAACUGACGCUGAGAAGCGAAAGCAUGGGAGCGA